CUAUGGGGUCCCAAACUGAGUUUUGGCACAGUCACCCUGCAAUUUGAGCUAAAACUGGUUUGCCUGUUUCACUAGGUGAAGAGCACAGCACUGCUGGAAACCCCCGAGGUGAAUGAGACCAAAGUACUCUCUGGGUCCUGGAAAAUGUGAAGAUGUGACCAACGAUUCCAGGAGGAAAAUGGAAACAUUUCAAGGUGUUCCUGGUCAUCCUGCAAAACCACAGGGAAAAUAUCUGCAUGCCACUGAAAUGAAGCAACUCAAAACCAAACUCUGUGAAGAUAAUCCCAUCUUUUGCUUUUAUUUGGUAGAAAUGAAUGGGGAAAAAAAAAAGAAAAAAGCUUCAUCUGGGUUUUCAUGAUGAUAGAGUGGGAGCUUUCACCACCAUCCCAG